UUCGGACUACGCUAAUAGUCUAAGUCCUUAACUGGGCUACGUUAUUUGGGUCAAGACACCUACGGAUACUCCUCAAGUCUGUAGCCCUGUCGUUUCUUAGAGCCAGGGAAUCGUGUGACUCGCUGAACAAGCCUUAAUAACUUUGACGGAGAGGAUCAACUUG
rnacentral:ncRNA from 1 species